UGAGGAAUAUUGGUCAAUGGACGCAAGUCUGAACCAGCCAUGCCGCGUGAAGGAUGAAGGCGUUCUGCGUUGUAAACUUCUUUUAUCAGGGAAGAAACCUCAGAUUUCUAUUUGAGCCGACGGUACCUGAUGAAUAAGCACCGGCUAACUCCGUGCCAGCAGCCGCGGUAAUACGGAGGGUGCAAGCGUUAUCCGGAUUUACUGGGUUUAAAGGGUGUGUAGGCGGAUUAUUAAGUCAGCGGUGAAAUCUCCAGGCUCAACCUGGAAACUGCCAGUGAUACUAUUAGUCUUGAAUAUUGUUGAGGUGGGCGGAACGGGUCAUGUAGCGGUGAAAUGCAUAGAUAUGACCCGGAACACCGAUUGCGAAGGCAGCCCACUAAGCAAUGAUUGACGCUGAGGCACGAGAGCGUGGGGAUCAAACA
rnacentral:rRNA from 1 species